UCCAUGUAGGAUUCGUCAUAGGAAAGGCAAAGUUAGCUCCGAUGUCAGUCCAUACAGUCCCGCGGCUUGAACUGGGAGCAGCAGUCCUGGCGGUUGAGAUAGCAGAAUUGGCUUCAAGAGAGUUGGAUCUGAAGUUUGAUGAUGUGCGGUUCUAUACAGACAGCAAGGUUGUGCUUGGGUACAUUUAUAACGCAACCCGCCGGUUCUACGUGUAUGUCAGUAACAGGGUAGAACACAUCAGGAAGUUCUCAAGCCCUAACCAGUGGCACUACAUACCCACCGGCCAGAACCGAGCAGACGUAGCAACCAGACCAGUACAUGCAGCACUGCUCACCAGUACACGAGCUGGCUCACCGGGCUUUCUGCUGCUACCGUCUAAAGAAGACAUCCCACUGGAAACACCUUUCAGCCUUGUGGACCCAGACUCUGACGCAGAAGUGCGAUCUCACCUCACCACAUGCACCAGCCCAAACCUGGGCUCUCAGCGGUUUGAACAGUUUUCAACAUGGCAGUCUCUCAUCAGAGCCAUAGCCACACUCAUCCACAUCACAGAGGUCAUCAGAUCCAGCACUACAACUGGAAACAAAGAAUGUAAAGGCUGGCAUCAAUGUUCAAAAGCACACGCAUCCGACAAUCUGUUGAAGGCAAAACAGGUCAUCAUUCGAUGUGUUCAAAAAGAAACCUAUCCCACUGAGAUGUCCUGUCUGCAGCAAGGGAUAAGCAUUCCUAACGACAGUCCACUGAGGAAGUUGGAUCCUGUUCUCGAUUGUGACGGACUCUUGAGAAUCGGUGGCCGGCUUCAACGCUCAAGACUUACCGCGGAGGAGAAACACCCUCUCAUUGUCCCUGGUCGCAGCCACGUCGGCGCUCUACUUACCAGCUACUACCACAGGAGAGUCGAACACCAGGGCCGGAUCUUCAAGGAGGGAGCUAUACGUGCAGAUGGCAUAUGGAUGGUUGGAGCCAAGAGGUGCAUCGCAAAGCUUCUACACAAGUGUGUCACGUGUAACAAGCUCAGAGGUAAAACAGCAGAGCAAAAGAUGGCCAACCUCCCUCCAGAUCGCCUAAGUACAGAGCCUCCUUUCACUAACGUAGGCAUCGAUGUAUUUGGUCCUUGGAGUAUCUCUACUCGACGCACCCGUGGAGGCGCUGCCAACAGCAAAAGGUGGGCAGUUAUCUUCACCUGUCUCAGUGUACGUGCUGUUCACAUAGAGCUCAGUGAAGCCAUGGACACAUCAAGCUUCAUCAACGCUCUGGGUAGAUUUCUUGCCAUCCGGGGUCCUGUGAAGCUUAUACGUUCAGACUGUGGCACAAAUUUCAAGGGAGCCUGUAAAGAGCUGCAAGUACUCUUGCAAGACUACCAGGAGCCCAACAUCUCUAAGUUCCUCAGUGCAGCGGGUUGUACAUGGAUCUUUAACCCGCCUCAUUCAUCACACAUGGGCGGUGUGUGGGAGAGGAUGAUUGGCAUCUCAAGAAGGAUUCUGGAUUCCAUGCUAAGUCACUCUCCACCUUCCCUACUCACCCACGACGUUCCGUCUACUACGAUGGCAGAGGUGUCCGCCAUUAUCAACGCCAGACCUCUGACAACCAUCUCUACCGAUGCAGACGCUCCGUUACUUCUGACUCCCAACACGAUUCUUACCCAGAAGGUUUGCUGUCCAUAUCCUCCUCCAGGCUGCUUCGUCGACGCAGACUUACACCGUCAGCAAUGGAGAAGAGUCCAGCACUUGGCCAACACCUUUUGGGAAAGGUGGCGGCGUGAGUAUGUCUCAAACCUCCAGAGUCGUUCUAAGUGGCAGAAGAGCCAGCCCAACAUCAAGGAGGGCGACCUAGUGCUUCUUCGCGAUACUCAGCUGAAGAGAAACCAGUGGCCCAUGGCAUUGGUGACUAAAACCUUCCCUGGAAGUGACGGAAAGAUCAGGAAGUUGGAGCUCAAGGUAACUAGAGGAGGCACUUCCAAGACCUUUCUUCGCCCUAUCACUGAAGUGGUGGUGCUGAUAACCCCUUGGGAUCAAACAGACUCUUGAUUGACCCCCAGAUGUUUGGUUAUUUAAGGUGUUAUUGUUUUCAAUACCAGGCGGGGAGUGUUACGUUACACAUUUUGAGUUUGUAUUAGGCACUUUAGAGCCCCCUGCAGGCCAUUACUUGUAUUCAGUUCUUUCGUAGUUUCUUAAUAUUGCGUUCGUUCUCAUUGGCUGAUAAGAGUCACGUUCUGUUAGUCACGUGAUUUCAGACGUGAUCGGUCAGUAUUUCGGCAGCCAUUUUGAUCUGUCAUUCGAGCCAGAGAUCCACACGGUGAAACAUCUUUUUUAUCUCACGUCAUUCAUCCGUGUAAGCCUUGGAGAAGCUUUGUUUUUUCACACUUCUAAACCGGCAACAACUUGUUCAACAACUAUCAAUAAAUGGACAUACAAGUGGAUGUCGACAACAUCCUCUACGGACUUUCAUCAUUGAUCCUGUCUUCAAGUUUUGUUGGGAAAAGUGUUUAGCUGUCUGGUGAUGUGUGCAUAGCUACACGCUCAG